UGGGGCAUGGGUCCAGUAUGUCCUCCUCAAAGUGGCCAAACAGGCCAUAGGGGAGCGAGUGUCCCUGGAGAUCGGGGUGUGUGAUGAGCCAGGGCCAGCUCCUCUCAGACCUCCUGUGGUCAGACCCCCAGGCUGGGCAGUCUCCUACUCCGUCUCAGAGGUGCAGGGGCCGGAGCGGUGCCUGCUGGGCGGGGAGGUGACCCUGCGCUGCUCCAUGGAGGGGACAUUCCCCGAGGACGUGGCCGUGACAUGGGAGAGGAUCCACAGCGAGGACAGGACGGUGCCUGAGAGCACUAGGGAUGAAGAGAACCCCGAGCACCAGUCGCUGUUACCUGCCCUCCCCCAGGGCUGGACAGUGAAAAAGGACAGAGCUGGGGCCCGCCUCACGUCCUCCCUGACCUUCACCCCCACAGUGCAGGACGAUGGGGCGCGGGUCCGGUGCUGCUUCCUCCAUGAGACUGAAUGUAUAAGAGAGGAGCGAGUGUCCCCGGAGAUCCGGGUGUGGGCCCGGCUGCAGGUGUCCGAGAUCCAGGUGUUGCCAGAGUGGGACCCCCGCGACAAGGUGCCGUUUGCUGGCCAGCUACACAACUUCUACCCCAGGGAGGUGCCCCCGAUCCAGUGGGGCUGGGACGGGGCCGGGAGCUGGAGGGAAGACCCCGCGCAGAUAGACAAGAACGCGGACGGCACGUUCACCGCGACGAGCGUCUGGAGAGUGCCCAGCCGGAGCCUGACCCGGCCGGAGCUGCGAGUGCGAGUGUGCGUCCAGCACGGCCCCGGAGAGCCCCCGAGCGAGAGAGAGCUCAGCCUGAGGGCCGCGGGUCUCCUGCAGCCCCCGCAGGUGUCCAAAAUCUCCCGGACCAAGUCCAUGACCACAGGGAAGGGGGUCACCCUGAGCUGCCGCAUCGCGGGGCAUUUCCCAGGGGAUCUGAGCGUGACCUGGCUGCGGAGGGGCAAGGGGGAGGCCACUGCUGUGAUCCUGCGGGACUCGGCUGAGUACAGGGUGGAGCCCGGCACAGUUGUCUUAGCACGGGACGGGAAGAGCUUCCGGCAGGAGACAAGUCUAACCCGCUGGACGUCCAGGGACCAGGGGACAGAGUACAUCUGCCGCGUGGGACACCUUGCCCUGAAGACCCCCAUCGAGAGGAGCAGCAGUCCAUCAGAGCCCUCCAGAGCCUCCAAGACCUGAGGAGAGAGGAGGCAGGCGAAGACAGAGCAACACGGGGUCAUUCAGAGUCCACCAGAAUGUGAUAGAGUUAAGGAGGAAGGUGCUGGCUGAGGACGGAGGCAGGGUUGCAUCUUGCACCCACCUGGGAAACACCACAG